rnacentral:rRNA from 1 species
GGUUAAGCGACUAAGCGUACACGGUGGAUGCCCUGGCAGUCAGAGGCGAUGAAGGACGUGCUAAUCUGCGAUAAGCGUCGGUAAGGUGAUAUGAACCGUUAUAACCGGCGAUUUCCGAAUGGGGAAACCCAGUGUGUUUCGACACACUAUCAUUAACUGAAUCCAUAGGUUAAUGAGGCGAACCGGGGGAACUGAAACAUCUAAGUACCCCGAGGAAAAGAAAUCAACCGAGAUUCCCCCAGUAGCGGCGAGCGAACGGGGAGGAGCCCAGAGCCUGAAUCAGUGUGUGUGUUAGUGGAAGCGUCUGGAAAGGCGCGCGAUACAGGGUGACAGCCCCGUACACAAAAAUGCACAUGCUGUGAGCUCGAUGAGUAGGGCGGGACACGUGGUAUCCUGUCUGAAUAUGGGGGGACCAUCCUCCAAGGCUAAAUACUCCUGACUGACCGAUAGUGAACCAGUACCGUGAGGGAAAGGCGAAAAGAACCCCGGCGAGGGGAGUGAAAAAGAACCUGAAACCGUGUACGUACAAGCAGUGGGAGCACAGAGCAAUCUGUGUGACUGCGUACCUUUUGUAUAAUGGGUCAGCGACUUAUAUUCUGUAGCAAGGUUAACCGAAUAGGGGAGCCGAAGGGAAACCGAGUCUUAACUGGGCGUUAAGUUGCAGGGUAUAGACCCGAAACCCGGUGAUCUAGCCAUGGGCAGGUUGAAGGUUGGGUAACACUAACUGGAGGACCGAACCGACUAAUGUUGAAAAAUUAGCGGAUGACUUGUGGCUGGGGGUGAAAGGCCAAUCAAACCGGGAGAUAGCUGGUUCUCCCCGAAAGCUAUUUAGGUAGCGCCUCGUGAAUUCAUCUCCGGGGGUAGAGCACUGUUUCGGCAAGGGGGUCAUCCCGACUUACCAACCCGAUGCAAACUGCGAAUACCGGAGAAUGUUAUCACGGGAGACACACGGCGGGUGCUAACGUCCGUCGUGAAGAGGGAAACAACCCAGACCGCCAGCUAAGGUCCCAAAGUCAUGGUUAAGUGGGAAACGAUGUGGGAAGGCCCAGACAGCCAGGAUGUUGGCUUAGAAGCAGCCAUCAUUUAAAGAAAGCGUAAUAGCUCACUGGUCGAGUCGGCCUGCGCGGAAGAUGUAACGGGGCUAAACCAUGCACCGAAGCUGCGGCAGCGACACUGUGUGUUGUUGGGUAGGGGAGCGUUCUGUAAGCCUGUGAAGGUGUGCUGUGAGGCAUGCUGGAGGUAUCAGAAGUGCGAAUGCUGACAUAAGUAACGAUAAAGCGGGUGAAAAAGCCCGCUCGCCGGAAGACCAAGGGUUCCUGUCCAACGUUAAUCGGGGCAGGGUGAGUCGACCCCUAAGGCGAGGCCGAAAGGCGUAGUCGAUGGGAAACAGGUUAAUAUUCCUGUACUUGGUGUUACUGCGAAGGGGGGACGGAGAAGGCUAUGUUGGCCGGGCGACGGUUGUCCCGGUUUAAGCGUGUAGGCUGGUUUUCCAGGCAAAUCCGGAAAAUCAAGGCUGAGGCGUGAUGACGAGGCACUACGGUGCUGAAGCAACAAAUGCCCUGCUUCCAGGAAAAGCCUCUAAGCAUCAGGUAACAUCAAAUCGUACCCCAAACCGACACAGGUGGUCAGGUAGAGAAUACCAAGGCGCUUGAGAGAACUCGGGUGAAGGAACUAGGCAAAAUGGUGCCGUAACUUCGGGAGAAGGCACGCUGAUAUGUAGGUGAAGUCCCUCGCGGAUGGAGCUGAAAUCAGUCGAAGAUACCAGCUGGCUGCAACUGUUUAUUAAAAACACAGCACUGUGCAAACACGAAAGUGGACGUAUACGGUGUGACGCCUGCCCGGUGCCGGAAGGUUAAUUGAUGGGGUCAGCGCAAGCGAAGCUCUUGAUCGAAGCCCCGGUAAACGGCGGCCGUAACUAUAACGGUCCUAAGGUAGCGAAAUUCCUUGUCGGGUAAGUUCCGACCUGCACGAAUGGCGUAAUGAUGGCCAGGCUGUCUCCACCCGAGACUCAGUGAAAUUGAACUCGCUGUGAAGAUGCAGUGUACCCGCGGCAAGACGGAAAGACCCCGUGAACCUUUACUAUAGCUUGACACUGAACAUUGAGCCUUGAUGUGUAGGAUAGGUGGGAGGCUUUGAAGUGUGGACGCCAGUCUGCAUGGAGCCGACCUUGAAAUACCACCCUUUAAUGUUUGAUGUUCUAACGUGGACCCGUGAUCCGGGUUGCGGACAGUGUCUGGUGGGUAGUUUGACUGGGGCGGUCUCCUCCUAAAGAGUAACGGAGGAGCACGAAGGUUGGCUAAUCCUGGUCGGACAUCAGGAGGUUAGUGCAAUGGCAUAAGCCAGCUUGACUGCGAGCGUGACGGCGCGAGCAGGUGCGAAAGCAGGUCAUAGUGAUCCGGUGGUUCUGAAUGGAAGGGCCAUCGCUCAACGGAUAAAAGGUACUCCGGGGAUAACAGGCUGAUACCGCCCAAGAGUUCAUAUCGACGGCGGUGUUUGGCACCUCGAUGUCGGCUCAUCACAUCCUGGGGCUGAAGUAGGUCCCAAGGGUAUGGCUGUUCGCCAUUUAAAGUGGUACGCGAGCUGGGUUUAGAACGUCGUGAGACAGUUCGGUCCCUAUCUGCCGUGGGCGCUGGAGAACUGAGGGGGGCUGCUCCUAGUACGAGAGGACCGGAGUGGACGCAUCACUGGUGUUCGGGUUGUCAUGCCAAUGGCACUGCCCGGUAGCUAAAUGCGGAAGAGAUAAGUGCUGAAAGCAUCUAAGCACGAAACUUGCCCCGAGAUGAGUUCUCCCUGACCCUUUAAGGGUCCUGAAGGAACGUUGAAGACGACGACGUUGAUAGGCCGGGUGUGUAAGCGCAGCGAUGCGUUGAGCUAACCGGUACUAAUGAACCGUGAGGCUUAACCUU